GACGAACGCUGGCGGCGUGCCUAAUACAUGCAAGUCGAACGCAGUGGGGACGGGUGAGUAACACGUGGGUAACCUCCCAUCAGAGGGGAUAACACUUGGAAACAGGUGCUAAACCGAUACUGAUGGAUGGACCCGCGGUGCAUUAGCUAGUUGGUGGGGUAACGGCUCACCAAGGCCACGAAGCAUAGCCGGCCUGAGAGGGUGACCGGCCAAACUGGAACUGAGACCCGGCCCAGACUCCUACGGGAGGCAGCAGUGGGGAAUCUUCGGCAAUGGCCGAAAGUCUGACGGAGCAACGCCGCGUGGGUGAAGAAGGCUUUCGGGUCGUAAAGUUCUUUUGUUGGGGAGGCGGUACCCAACCAGAAAGCCACGGCUAACUACGUGCCAGCAGCCGCGGUAAUUC
rnacentral:rRNA from 1 species